rnacentral:rRNA from 1 species
AGAGUUUGAUCAUGGCUCAGAGCGAACGUUUGCGGCGGGCCUAACACAUGCAAGUCGAACGGGCUAGCAAUAGUCAGUGGCGCACGGGUGCGUAACACGUGGGUAAUCAACCCUUCAGCUUGGGAUAACGCCUUGAAAGGGGCGCUAAUACCGAAUACGGCGCGAGAGACUUCGGUCUUUCACGAGAAAGGUUCGCAAGGACCACUGAAGGACGAGCCUGCGGCCCAUCAGCUAGUUGGUGAGGUAAGAGCUCACCAAGGCGAAGACGGGUAGCUGGUCUGAGAGGAUGAUCAGCCACACUGGAACUGAGACACGGUCCAGACUCCUACGGGAGGCAGCAGUGGGGAAUAUUGCGCAAUGGGCGAAAGCCUGACGCAGCCACGCCGCGUGAGCGAUGAAGGCCUUCGGGUCGUAAAGCUCCGUGGGGAGAGACGAAGAAAGCCCGUGAAGAGCGGGCCUUGACGGUAUCUCCUUAGCAAGCACCGGCUAACUCCGUGCCAGCAGCCGCGGUAAUACGGAGGGUGCAAACGUUGCUCGGAAUCAUUGGGCGUAAAGCGCACGUAGGCGGCUAGAUAAGUCGGGUGUGAAAGCCCUGGGCUCAACCCAGGAAGUGCAUUCGAAACUGUCUAGCUUGAAUCUCGGAGGGGGUCAGAGAAUUCCCGGUGUAGAGGUGAAAUUCGUAGAUAUCGGGAGGAAUACCAGUGGCGAAGGCGCUGACCUGGACGAAGAUUGACGCUGAGGUGCGAAAGCGCGGGGAGCAAACAGGAUUAGAUACCCUAGUAGUCC